rnacentral:rRNA from 1 species
AUGGAGACGGCCAUCGGUGCGGCCGGUUGGCUGCUGGGCAAGGUGCUUACGAAACUGUCCGAGGACCUUGUGGCCGCGUACGUGUCCAGCAACGAGCUGGGCCUCAACUUCCACGACAUCAAACUGAAGCUCCUCUACACACAAGGGCUGCUGCAUGCAUCCGAGGGGAGGGACAUGAGCAACAACCCUGGCCUCUAUGGAUUACUCGGGGAGCUGAGCAAGAAGGCGGAUGAGGCCGAGGACAUGCUCGAUGAGAUCCACUACUUCAUGAUCCAGGACCAGCUCGACGGCACCAAGGAGGCAGCCCCAGAACUGGGCGAUGGCGUCCGGGGCUCUGCCCUUCAUGUCCGUCAUGCUGCUCGCCACACCAUCGGUAACUGGAUUCCUUGCUUUUCUUGCUCGCGUACUCAAGGUGGUGAUUCUUCUGUUGAUGUUGUCACUAGUGACAAUGAUGGUGGGCCUGUUCAUAAGUUGUCUUUUGACAGAGUGGAUAUGUCCAACAAAAUCAGGUCGGUAAUAGAGGAAUUGAACUCCAUGUGUGGACCUGUCUCUGACUUGCUCAAAAUUCCAAACCAUAGUAACACUGCAACAAGCACACCUAUCACUCUCAAAAAGCCACCCACGGGUUCAGUAUCUGCACAAGAUAAACUGUAUGGGAGGGAAGUCAUCUUUGAGCAAACUAUAAAUGAGCUCACUGGUACAAAAUAUCUUGGUGAAACCCUUUCUGUUAUGUCUUUUGUUGGCCCUGGGGGUAUGGGAAAGACAACCUUCACCCAACACUUGUAUAAUGAGAAAAGGGUUGAGGAGCACUUCAUUGUUAGGGUCUGGGUAUGUGUCUCAACUGGUUUUGAUGUGACCAACCUCACCCGGCAGACCCUUAGGUGCAUACCUGCAGUUGAAAAAGAAGAAUACAAAUGUACAGUUGAAACAGCCAGUUUAGACCAGCUUCAAAAAUCCAUUAUAGAAAGAUUGAAGUCCAAAAGGUUCUUAAUUGUCUUGGAUGACAUUUGGACAUGCAACAAUGAAAGUGAUUGGAACGACCUGUUAGUUCCAUUCAAACAGGGGGAAAUUAAGGGAAGCAUGGUUCUUGUCACAACUCGGUUUCCAUCAGUAGUACAAAUGGUGAAAACAACUGAACCAGUAGAACUGCAUGGUUUGAAAGAUGAUGAUUUUUUAAAAUUACUUGAAGCAUGCAUAUUUCCGGAAAACAAACCUAGGCAUUAUGAAGAUCAAUUAAUUGAUGUUGCAAAGGAUAUUGCGAAGGAACUAAAGGGUUCACCCCUAGCCGCCAAUACAGUUGGUCGUUUAUUGAGGAAAAACAUUUCCCUGGAAUAUUGGAUUGAAGUUCUUGAAAAUGAUGAGUGGCAAAAUGCAAAAAAUACUGAUGAUAUUUUACCAUCCCUGAAAAUUAGCUACGAUUACCUUCCUUUCUUUCUAAAAAAAUGUUUUUCAUAUUGUGCCCUUUUCCCAGAAGAUUACAAGUUCUAUAAUUUACAAACUACUAGCUUUUGGACUGCGAUAGGUAUAUUGGACUCUAGUUGCCAACACGAUAAGAACUCUAGUUUCCAACAUGAUAAGAAUUACUUAGAAGAACUAGUAGACAAUGGUUUCCUCAUGAAGAGAGUUGAUAUUUAUAAUGACCAAUACUAUGUGAUGCAUGAUUUAUUGCAUGAACUAUCCCGGAAUGUUUCAUCGCAAGAAUGUGUGAAUAUAAGGUGUUCAAGUUUUAGUACAGAUAACAUCCCACAAUCUGUUAGGCACUUAUCAAUCACUAUAGAAGAUAUAUGCGAUGAAAGUUUUGAAGAAGAAAUGGGUAAACUGAAGGGUAGAAUAGACAUUGGAAAUUUGCGGACUUUGAUGAUUUUUGGGUCGCCUAAUGCAAGAAUAGCUAAUAUUUUUAAAGAUGUUUUUGAAGAAAUCAAAGGUCUUCGAAUUCUUUUUAUAGCAAUUAACACUAUAGAAUCUUUGCCCAAGAGCUUUCCAAAUCUUAUCCACCUCCAAUACCUUAAAAUUAGUUCACCCGACCCCUUAGAAGAAAUGACUUUACCUAGCACAUUGUCUAGAUUUAACCACUUGAAAUUUCUGGACCUCAAUCUUUGGCGUGGUAGUGAAAAUUUGCCCAAAGACUUUAGUCGCCUUAUAAAUUUACGCCAUUUUUUCUCUUCUAAAGAACUCCAUUCCAAUAUUCCUGAGGUUGGAAAGAUGAAGUGUUUACAUGAGCUAAAAGAGUUCAAUGUUAAGAAAGAGGGUGUUGGAUUUGAACUGAAAGAGCUGGGGGAUUUGCGAGAGCUGGGAGGAGAACUCUGCAUAUGUAAUCUUGAAAUUGUGGCGUCCAAAGGAGAAGCUAGUGCUGCCAAACUGAAAAAUAAAAGAAAUCUGAAAAAGCUAAGAUUAGUUUGGGGUGCAGAGCACAAGACUGUAGAUGAUGAUGUUCUUGAAGGUCUUGAACCACAUCCUGAUCUUAGGGUGCUUAGCAUUACGAAUGCUGGAGUUGCCACUUGUCCUAGAUGGUUGUGUGAUGACUUAAGCACAAAAAGGUUGGAGUCUCUUCAUCUAGAAGGUAUAUCUUGGGUCACUCAUCCAGCUUUUGAGCAGCUACCACACCUCACCAAGCUCACAUUGAAGAGUAUUUCUGGAAUGCGUGUAUUGAGGCUUGGCUUUAGUACUGUUACAGGAAGAAGCUUCACGCACCUGAAGACACUUGAUUUGACGGACAUGCCAGAACUUGUGGAGUGGGUUGGGGAGCCUAAUAGCAAUCUGUUUUCAAGGCUUGAAAGUAUCUCGCUUGAAGAUUGUCCCUCUCUCUGCUCGUUUCCCUUCUUGGAGUACUCUCACCUAUUUACUAACUUGUUCAGUCUUGAUAUUAGAUACUGCCCCAAGCUGUCUCAGUUUCCACCCAUGCCUCGUACCUCCACACUAUCAAAUAUGCAAUUGUUCAAUCGUAGCUCAUCAGUAGUAUUGCACGGAAAGAAGAAAUUCAGAAUUAAACAGUAUAAAGGUGCUUUGGCCUUCCACAAUUUGGAUGAAGUAGAGGAUAUGCGAAUUGUGGGUGGGCCACACAUUUCGUGUUCAAGCCUCAAAAAACUAAACUCCCUGAGAAGUGUACAUUUUGAAGAAUGCGACGACAUGUUUUUUGCAGAACAAGAUGAUGCUGUUGUUCUCCAUUCUGUUCAGAAUCUUGUAAUAAGUGAUUCACGUAUUACUGGAGAAUCAUUUUCAAAUGCUUUGAAACUUUUGCCAGCUCUUUCCCAGGUUAUCUUAGACAAGUGUAAGAGGCUUGAAUUUCUGCCUGUGGAGGAUGGAGGACUCUCGGGCCUCAGGAUGCUCCAAUCAUUUAGAGGAUUGGGAUGUGGGAAUCUGUUCUCUCGGUGGCACAAGGGAGAAGUAGGUGGAGGUGGUCAUGCCAUCAAGCCUUUCCCUACUUCCCUCAGGGAACUUGACAUUUCCUUCGAGUUAAGCAUAGAGUCAAUGGGUCUGCUCUCAAACCUCACGUCUCUCACCAGUCUAAGCUUGAAGGUUUGCAAAGAAUUAACAAUGGAUGGCUUCAAUCCUCAAAUCACAGUCAACCUCAAGCAAUUGGUUUUAUAUGCGAACAAGUUUAUAGCUGGGGAUCUGCUGUCAGAGAUUGCAAGGAGCAAACUAAUGCAUGCAGGUUCAUUCCAGUUGGAAGAAUUAGAGGUGGAUAGCAUCUCGGCCGUGCUUACUGUUCCCAUCUGCAGCCACCUUGCUGCUACCCUCCACACAUUGCGGUUCACUAUUGAUAAGCUGGCAACAACCUUCACGGAAGAGCAAGAGCAAGCGCUCCUGCUCCUCACCUCCCUCAAAAAUCUAGAAUUUGAAUGGUGCAAGAAUCUAGAGUCCUUCCCUCGAGUGCUACGUGGCCUUUCUACCCUCAAGAGAUUAAGGAUCUAUAUGUGUGAUAAAAUCCUAUGCUUGCCGUCAAAGGAGAGCCUCCCUGCUUCACUGGAAACGCUAGUGGUAUGGUGUGAUAGUCCUGAGCUAACUGAGCAAGCCAAAAAACUGAAAGGAAGUGAACCAUGGUUUUCUGUGAAAGGAUACGGGCUAUAG